AAGGUACUCCCCCCGAUCCAUACUACUUGUCGCUCAAACAGAUGUAUCUAGCACUGAAAUACGUCUAGAUACAUCCAUUUGAGCGACAAGUAAUUUGGAUCGGUGGGAGUACUAU
rfam:Triticum aestivum genome assembly, contig: Triticum_aestivum_CS42_TGACv1_scaffold_194105_3AL